CACGUAGGGCGCAAGCGUUGUCCGGAUUUAUUGGGCGUAAAGAGCGUGUAGGCGGCCAUGUAGGUCCGGUGUGAAAACUCGAGGCUCAACCUCGAGCUGUCGGCGGAAACCAUUUGGGCUAGAGUCCGGAAGAGGAGAGUGGAAUUCCCGGUGUAGCGGUGAAAUGCGCAGAUAUCGGGAAGAACACCUGUGGCGAAGGCGGCUCUCUGGGACGGUACUGACGCUGAGGAGCGGAAAGCGUGGGGAGCCAAA
rnacentral:rRNA from 1 species